UAAUUGAAGAGUUUGAUCAUGGCUCAGAUUGAACGCUGGCGGCAGGCCUAACACAUGCAAGUCGGGCGGUAACAGGGAGAAG
rnacentral:rRNA from 1 species